rnacentral:misc_RNA from 1 species
UCCGUCAAUUCAUUUGAGUUUCACACUUGCGUGCGUACUCCCCAGGCGGGAUACUUAACGCGUUAGCUACGGCACUGCCCGGGUCGAUACGGGCAACACCUAGUAUCCAUCGUUUACGGCUAGGACUACAGGGGUAUCUAAUCCCUUUCGCUCCCCUAGCUUUCGUCCCUCAGUGUCAGUUUAAGUCCAGUAGAGCGCUUUCGCCACCGGUGUUCUUCCCAAUCUCUACGCAUUUCACCGCUACACUGGGAAUUCCCUCUACCCCUACUUGACUCUAGUCGUGUAGUUUCCAUGGCCUUUAUGGGGUUGAGCCCCACGCUUUAACCACAGACUUACAUGACCACCUACGGACGCUUUACGCCCAAUCAUUCCGGAUAACGCUUGCAUCCUCCGUAUUACC